UUGCACUUUUCAAAUUUCUAGUGAAACUAUUGUCCUUACCGAUCAAUUACUUCCCCCUUUGUCCCAGUCAUUUAGUUCAUUCGUAGGUAUCAUUUCCCUAUACUAAUCCCCACUGCUGCAUGUUUCGUCGUCGUGGGCUGGGCGCAGGGAGCCGGGCGCGGAAGCGAUGCGGCGACGAUGGCAUCUGCGUCGAAAGAUAACGAGUCAGCCUUCAAGUCGGCGCCGCACCGCGGUGUCUCCUGCCUGCACUAGCCAUUGAUUUGGUAUUAUAUUCAGGUCAUGCCCCAGCUAUAUUCUUA